CUGCCAGUAAUAAAAAAGUCAAUAAAAUCUAUUUAUAGUAACAACAAAGGGAUGUAAUUCUAAAAACAAGGGUGCCUCAUGGUGGUGAACAUUUGGUCCAAGUUACAUCAAAAUCCCUCCAUGCAUGAAGAAGAAAUGUUCCAUACAAAGUCAUUCUUGAAUUUGACCUUUGACUUCUAAAUAUGACCUUGACCUUAGACCUAGGGACCUGAUUCUUGCGCAUGACAUGUUGUCUCAUCCAGGGGAAUAUUUGUGCCAACUGAUAUCUAAAUCCUGCUUUGCAUGACAAAGUUAUAGACCGGACAGGAAAAAAAUCCUCUUGACCUUUGAUCUCAAAGUGUGACCUUGACCUUUAAGCUAGGGUACUGGGUGUUGCGCAUGACAUGUCGUCUCAUCAUGGGAAACAUUUGUGCCAAGUAAUAUUAAAAUCCCUUCAUGGAUGGCAGAGUUAUGGACGGGACAGGAAAAAAACUCUGUUGACCUUUGACCCCCAAUUGUGACCUUGACCUUUGAGCUAGGGGUCCGGGAUUUGCGCAUGACACGUCGUCUCAUCAUGGGGAACACUUGUGCUAAGUAAUAUUAAAAUCCCUUAAUGAAUGUCAGAGUUAUGGACCGGACACGAAACAGACCCUGUUCAUGCUAUGUUAACAUUUGACUGCUAAGUGUGACCUUGACCUUUGAGCUAGGGGUCUGAAAGUUGUGCAUGACAUAUCGUCUUAUUAUGAGGUACAUUUGUGCCAAGUAAUAUUAAAAUCCCUUCAUAGAUGGGAGAGUUAUGGACCGGACAGGAAAAAAACCUUGUAGACCUUUGACCUCCAAUUGUGACCUUGACCUUUAAGCUAGGGGUCCAGGUUUUGCGCAUGACACGUCGUCUCCUCAUGGGGAACAUUUGUGCCAAGUAAUAUUAAAAUCUCUUCAUGGAUGGGAGAGUUAUGGACCGGACAGGAAAAAAGCCCUGUUGACCUUUGACCUCCAAUUGUGACCUUGACCUUUGAGCUAGGGGUCCGGGAUUUACGCACGACACAUCAUCUCAUCAUGGGGAACAUUUUUGCCAAGUAAUACUAAAAUCCCUUCAAGGAUGGGAGAGUUGUGGACCGGACAGGAAAAAAGCCCUGUUGACCUUUGACCUCCUAUUGUGGCCUUGACCUUUGAGCUAGGGGUCUGGGUUUUGCGCAUGACACGUCGUCUCAUCAUGGGGAACAUUUGUGCCAAGUAAUAUUAAAAUCCCUUCAUGGAUGACAGAGUUAUGGACCGGACACGAAAUUGCGGACGGACGGAAUGACGGAAAGACGGAAUGACGGAAAAGAGCAUUCCUAUAGUCCCCAAAACUGGUUUUCAACCAGUAGGGGACUAAUAACCAGGUGACCAACAUGACCAAGUGACUGCCAAGCUUUGAAAAUACCUCUUUUUUAAAUGCAGCAAUUGACGUUCAAGUAACAGGAUAACACCUGACUGCCGUAUGUCUUAGUUAAAAGAAGCAGAAGAAAAUGGUUUAAUUUGUAAAUGCUAAUGAUGUAAAAACUACACUCAAGAGACAGACCUGGUGACAGUAAUGCAGGUUCAGGAAGUGUUCAUACAGUUCAAUAUAAACCUCUUGAGGGAAUCAUUUGAGGAGACUAACCGUCCAGUGUGUUGGUUUAUAACAUGUUUAAACACAGAUAAUAAUGACAUAUUGGUACACUCAGAAUCAACGUGGAAACUGUUGGUGAGAUGUGUACAUCAUUCAGCUUUGGAAUCCUGGAACUCAUGAAGUACAAUGUUCAAAUAGCACUCAGUUCAAUGUUUGAAGAACCUUCAAUGGUAUUUCUGUUUUGCUUGAACAGAACAGUACCGACUCCCAUUACAGUUGUAGAAUUAAGUGACGUGGAAGGCACUGUAGCUCAGCCUAAUUAUUAAUUGUACAAGAAUGUAGCCUGUACAUAUACAUGUUGUAUCAAGAGGAAGUGAAAUUAUUUAUAUGCAUGUCCAGAAGUGACUAGCUGUGUACAUGGAUGUCUUUGUAGAAAACUCAUUAUUGUUAAGUUUUAAACCUUUGCUUUAGUUGCUAAAAUUUUAUUGUAAAACUGAUGAAAUAACCAGCAUCUUUUAAUAUUCUUAAGGAUCACUUAUUCAUAUGAUGGAUUAUUUCUAUUGCAAUGUACUGCUAACUCACAUUGUUGUCACUGUUAUGAUAUGUCACUUAAGGUAUUUCUGCACGUUUGAAAAACCGGAAGUGAUUGCAUAACGUCACUUAUCUGGAAAACGUAGAAUAAUGCCCGGAUUCGGCGUACGGAAACAAAAAUCAGUUUAUGAAUUAAGGACAACCUGUGAAUAAAUGUAUUAAUAUGACACUGUUACUAUCUUUCUAAAGUUAAAAUAUGAUAUUAAAACAUCUUACACGUUAAAUAAUCUAAAAUAAUGUCUUAAAAUUUGCUUGAAAUAGGCAGUUCACUUUAAUCAUAGCCAAAUAUCUCAAAAAUAAGCACAUGGACCUAUACAUUUUAUUUCGUCGUAUUAUAGGCCAUAUGUCUGUUUAUGACUCUGAGAAGUUUCAUUAAAAUCUACAUUGUAGAAAUAUUUCUAUUUGCGAAAAUGGUUUGAAAAUUGCGUUUUUCCCAUAUACUCCCAUUAUGAAAACUUGCGUGAGGUCGAAAUUUUUCAAAUCAGUCUAGCAAAAAAUCAAGCACACAACCCUAUCUUUUUUAUUUUCUGAAUUUUCUUAGAAUAUUUCGAAGUUUUGAAAAAUCAGAGUUUAAUCAAAUUCUACAUUGUAGAAAAAAUUUCCGGUCCUAAAGUGCAGAACUACCUUAACAGAAUGCGAUGCCAUGUAUUUAUGAUUUACUUUACAUUUUUGUAUUUCAUCAAUAAAACAUUAUUAUCAUUAUAAAUUUAUAAUAUAUAAAUUGAGAAGAAUAAAUAUGUUAGGAAACAGUAAA